CUUUAUGGCGGCUGUACGUGGGGCACCUCGUGUGCGCCGAGUUGUCCUCUGGAGUUAUCGGUCUGUCAACCCGCGUAUAGCUGCCACCUUC
rnacentral:antisense_RNA from 1 species